CACGUAGGGCGCGAGCGUUGUCCGGAAUUAUUGGGCGUAAAGAGCUCGUAGGCGGCCUGUUGCGUCCGCUGUGAAAGCCCGGGGCUUAACCCCGGGUCGGCAGUGGAUACGGGCAGGCUAGAGGUAGGUAGGGGAGAAUGGAAUUCCCGGUGUAGCGGUGAAAUGCGCAGAUAUCGGGAGGAACACCAAUUGCGAAGGCAGCUCGCUGGGACGUUACUGACGCUGAGACGCGAAAGCGUGGGGAGCAAACAGG
rnacentral:rRNA from 1 species